rnacentral:tRNA from 3 species
CGGGGCAUAGCGCAGUCUGGUAGCGCGCCUGCUUUGGGAGCAGGAUGUCGGGGGUUCAAAUCCCUCUGCCCCGACCA